AACGAACGCUGGCGGCGUGCCUAACACAUGCAAGUCGAGCGCGAAAAGGGCAACCUGAGUAGAGCGGCGCGCGGGUGCGUAACACGUGGGUAAUCUGCCUUAGAGUCGAGGAUAACCUUCCGAAAGGUUGGCUAAUACUCGGUAAGCUUACGGUGUCUUCGGACGCUGUGGGAAAAGUAGGCCUCUGUUUACAAGCUUACGCUCUGAGAUGAGCCCGCGGCCCAUCAGCUAGUUGGCGGUGUAACGGACCACCAAGGCAACGACGGGUAGCUGGUCUGAGAGGACGAUCAGCCACACUGGAACUGAGACACGGUCCAGACUCCUACGGGAGGCAGCAGGGGGGAAUUUUCCACAAUGGGCGAAAGCCUGAUGGAGCAACGCCGCGUGUGUGAUGAAGGUUUUCGGUUCGUAAAGCACUUUCGACCGGGACGAAAAACCUCUGGCUAACAUCCAGGGGCCUGACGGUACCGGGAGAAGAAGCACCGGCUAACUCUGUGCCAGCCGCCGCGGUAA
rnacentral:rRNA from 1 species